rnacentral:lncRNA from 1 species
GGAUGAUAGAAUCCUUGACACUUAACUGUCAGAAGUCAGAUGAUACAAUUACCAUGAUGAGUGACAACAUCAUAAUGGCAAGCAGAAGAGACUGACCCACAGAAAUCUAUGGAGAUGCCUAUAGAACACUGUGUUCCUAGAGGCAAGAUAGAUGGGUAUCCAAUGACAUCUUGCAUUUCUUACCACUAGGAGAGAAGCGCAAUAUUUGUCACAACAGCAACCAGGUCAGCAAAUACGAAUGGAUUACAACUAAUUCAUCAUUGUUAUUAGAAAAAUCCAAAGCUUAUGAUCUGCUUAUAGUGGAUGUUCAGGGAAUAUCCACUGUUCACCGGUCACUGAUCUGAACAUAAGGAAUAAACAUCUGAACUAGUGAUAGGAAGUUAAUUUCUCAAACUGCCAUGGAAGGAGGGUUUCCAUUAAAGCUCUGAAAAGAAAAGAAUGCUAAAACUUCCUUCCAAAACCCAUCACAGUGUCUAUAUGUCUUUAUUUUUUCUCAUGGUAGAGAUGGAGAUUGGCAAUAAAUAUUUGUUAAUACCCUUCUAUAACCCAAAGUUAAUUUUUCUUUAAUAAUAAAUCCGAUAGGC